GGGGGCGAAAAGGGUUCGACGGGGGUUGUUGAAGCUUUAACUGCAUACCGAGGUUCCUAUCGCGGCUCGUAAAAAAGGUAGGAUUAAACAUAAUCGCAGACGAUUAUAAUUACGCUCUGGCUGCCUAAUCGCAGCCAGCGUUCCGCGUGUUUUCUCCUGCCGGACACAAAGGGGCGUCACUUCAGACAGGAUAGCUCUUUUUCCUCUCUCAAGGGAAUCUGAGCGAAACGUUUUGAGAUAGCCUUUAAAGAAUCCUGCUUCUGGGAGACUUAAAAGGCGAACCCUAAAACAGAAGCUACGUAUGUAGAUGUUAAAGUGGAAAGCUCUCGGACGGGGGUUCGAUUCCCCCCGCCUCCACCA
rnacentral:tmRNA from 1 species